rnacentral:lncRNA from 10 species
CUGGGGAGAACCGCCUUCAGGCGUUUGGACUCAGUGGAGGUUGUGAGUGCCCAGCAGUGUGGCCUGAAUCUCCGUGGGGUUUAGGGAGACGAAAGGACCCCAGAUCGACGUCCCCUCGUUCCCACUUUGGGGAUCGGCGCUCUGGCUGUUUCGUGAAGGAGAGAGAGGAACUCAGAGUGGUUUUCCAGAUGGGAAUCACAUUGCUCUCUGUCCCUGAGAUCUUGCUGGAGACAGGGCUACUCAGUCCCUCUUUGCCAGGUAAUCUGUUCCAGAAGAAACAUGUGUCGUUCUGACUGAGCCCCUGCCUGUCUGUCACCUUAAGAGCCAGUCAAUUCAUAUGGUCCCCAUAUCAAAGUCUCCUGUGCCCAGAGAGAGGAUUUCAUUUCAACCAUCACCAUCACCACCAUCAUCAUCAUCACCAAGAGAUGUUGUUGAAUUGAUACUGGAAAAGCAGUUUCUAUUGAGCCCCCAAAUGAAGAGUGAGUGCAGAUGAAGAGGAGGCAGGACUCACAAGCCCUUGAACUUUAUUCCAGAUCUGUUAGCACCUACAGGACCCUGCACCAGGAUUUCAUCUGUACUAUCAGCUUCUUCAAAGAGAGAGAGGUUGUUGAAUUGAUAUUGGAAAAGCAGUUUCCCAUUGAGUCUCAAAUGAAGAGAGUGCAGAUGAAGAGGAGCUCUUCAUGUGGAUGUCUGAGCUCAUAUCAGGUGUCUGAAAGAGGCAGAUUCUGAGGAUUUGGGUCAUGAUGGCUGCCAAAGCUUCUACUCCUGACUUAAAGGGCAACAAUCCUAGGAGACCACCAGCACUUACAUCCCUGGUAGGACAUGACACCUGCUUAUGGCUCAGAAGUGACAAAAGAGAAUUAUCAGGAUGGCAGUCCUUAUAACCAGAUGCUUAUCAACAUUCUUCACUACAUUCUGAAGAUGAAUUUCUACAAGGGAAAUUGUUUAUAUUUGUUGUUGGGGAUAGAUAAGGAAAGAAGAAAAAGGCUCUGGUGAGAAACCCAUUGUACCUUCUGGAUAUGAUCACUACCCAAUUUUAUCAGUGUCAUUGAUCACUAACCCAGUGCCUCGUAUGGUGCCAGGCACAGAGUUACUCCAAGAAUGUACAAUAAUGGCUGGAUUCUCUUUCUCCCUGUGCAACUCUUCAUGCAUGUGACUGAACUUAUAUUAAGUGUCUGAAGGAGGUUCGUUCUGAGGAUCUGGGACAUGAUGGGUGCUGAAGCUUCUACUCAAGAUUUGAAGGGCAGCUGUCCUCAGGAGACCCCUGGCACUUCCCUCCAUGGUGGGAUGUGAUGCCUGAUUCCAGUGAGUUCAUAGAGCUGAACAAAAGUACGUUGUGGAAUAGCUCCUGUGAGGUUCACAACAUAGUCCGGAAGAUGAGAAACUACUUUUUUUAGUAACCUGGAUUCCCAUCUAAGAGAUGCCUUACUUUAUCGUAAAGCAAUGAGUUGUUCACUUGAGGAGGGAACUUCAUGUUUAACAUGUAUUUGCAACAAAUUUACAUACAUUUUCUGCCUGUAUGAAUAGUUGUCAGUGAUGCCCAUGAAUUUCUCAGAUGGAUGUUGAAGUAUACAGUUAGAAGGUUAGAAGAUCUUCCUAGCAAUCUGUGAUUACGGUAUGCAUUCUUCCAUGGUUUCUACGUUUUUGUCUAUUCUAUAAUGAAAUUUUCUAAGAAGCCAGAAAUUAAUUAAGUGCUACCUAAAAAUAUCAAAAUGUCAGGUACAAGAAUUUGGCAUUUUCAAAAUUAGUAAUUACAAUGUAAGUUUGCCCUAUUAUAAUGAUACCCAGCUAUGUCCAGUAACAUAACUAGAUUGUUCUGAAUACCGUUAUUAUUUCCCAAUAAUACAAACAUCACAAUUUCAGUUCUGUAGUACCUGGCCUACCUACCCUUCCCACUGCCUUGCCCCAGGUAAACACAGCAUGCCUGUCACUAUACAUUAUUUUACAUGCCUGGAAAUAUAUUUAAAUGGAAUCAUAGAGGUGGUUUCUUUUUUUUUUUUUUAUCAACACCUGGCUUUUUUCAUUCACUCCACUUAUUUUUAUAUUUAUCCAUUUUAUUGCAUUUAUCUAUUGAUAUACUUCAUUCUUUUUGAUUGCUAAAUACUAUUGCGGUAUACAACCACACUAAACAUUUUAUUAUCCAUCCAUUUGUCGAUGGACAUUUUGGUUGUUUCUCAUUUGGGGCUCUUGUAAAUAAAGCUGCUAUGAACAUUUGUGAAUAAGUCUUUUUGUGAAAAUAUGCAUUCUCAUUCAAGGGUCAAUACUUAGGAGUUCAAUCUCUGGAUCAUGUGGUAGA